UACGAAGGGGCUAGCGUUGCUCGGAAUCACUGGGCGUAAAGCGCACGUAGGCGGAUUCCUAAGUCGGUGGUGAAAUCCUGGAGCUCAACUCCAGAACUGCCUCCGAUACUGAGAGUCUCCGAGUCCGGGAGAGGUGAGUGGAACUGCGAGUGUAGAGGUGAAAUUCGUAGAUAUUCGCAAGAACACCAGUGGCGAAGGCGGCUCACUGGCCCGGUACUGACGCUGAGGUGCGAAAGCGUGGGGAGCAAACAGGAUUAGAACCGUACC
rnacentral:rRNA from 1 species